AUGUCGCCGGCAUCAAGAAAGACUCGGCGUCCUCCGACUAUGCAUGCACGCCGGCCAGAAUCACAUAGCCACGGCUCCCACCAGAAUAACUGCGUCUGUCCCAGAUUAGAGAAAGGGAACAACAAAUUACAAGCAUGGUUUUGGUACAGAUUCACAGAAGACCUUAAUCAAACAUCACGACAACAUACGUCAAGAACCUGCAGCGCCCGCCGACGUCAAACGCAGUGCAGAACCACCACCAGCCGCGGUCCGGCGAGCCGCACGACGGCAGUAGCAACAACAAUAACUACCAGCGCGACCAGUACACCGACGCGAGCGACGGCAGCAACAACAACUACCAGCGCAACCAGUCCGGCAAGGAGCACGAUGACCGCAAGCACUGCACAACAAACCUAUACCAAAAUUAAUAUCCAAGGUGACAUAUUAACACACACAAGAUAA
rnacentral:rRNA from 1 species